AUCAACGCUGGCGGCGUGCCUAACACAUGCAAGUCGAACGCGAAAGCCCCGCAAGGGGUAAGUAGAGUGGCAAACGGGUGAGUAACACGUGGGUGACCUGCCUUCGAGUGGGGGAUAACGUCCCGAAAGGGACGCUAAUACCGCAUAAUAUGCCGCCUUUGAAGAGGUGGACAUCAAAGCUGGGGAUCGCAAGACCUAGCGCUGGAAGAGGGGCCCGCGCCCGAUUAGCUAGUUGGUGAGGUAAUGGCUCACCAAGGCUACGAUCGGUAGCCGGCCUGAGAGGGCGGACGGCCACACUGGGACUGAGACACGGCCCAGACUCCUACGGGAGCAGCAGUGGGGAAUUGUUCGCAAUGGGCGCAAGCCUGACGACGCAACG
rnacentral:rRNA from 1 species